rnacentral:rRNA from 1 species
UUGAACGCUGGCGGCAGGCCUAACACAUGCCAGUCGAGCGGAUGAAGGGAGCUUGCUCCUGGAUUCAGCGGCGGGCGGGUGAGUAAUGCCUAGGAAUCUGCCUGGUAGUGGGGGAUAACGUCCGGAAACGGGCGCUAAUACCGCAUACGUCCUGAGGGAGAAAGUGGGGGAUCUUCGGACCUCACGCUAUCAGAUGAGCCUAGGUCGGAUUAGCUAGUUGGUGGGGUAAAGGCCUACCAAGGCGACGAUCCGUAACUGGUCUGAGAGGAUGAUCAGUCACACUGGAACUGAGACACGGUCCAGACUCCUACGGGAGGCAGCAGUGGGGAAUAUUGGACAAUGGGCGAAAGCCUGAUCCAGCCAUGCCGCGUGUGUGAAGAAGGUCUUCGGAUUGUAAAGCACUUUAAGUUGGGAGGAAGGGCAGUAAGUUAAUACCUUGCUGUUUUGACGUUACCAACAGAAUAAGCACCGGCUAACUUCGUG